AGAGAUUAAAAAAUAAAGGGGAGAAUGAUUAUGUGUAUGGUGGUCAUGUAUAUAUGUGUUGUCCAUAUACAUGCCAAUAAAUGAUUGACGAACAAUUAAGACCGAGUGAAUCGAUUUCUUUUUUUCCUUUCCUUUGUAUAUAUGUAUUAUAUUAUAUAAACAACAACUUCUCAGAAAGAAGAGAAGCAAAAUACGUCUAAAGGUUGCUUGUUUUCUUCUCUUCAUCUGCUGAUUUUGGCUGUCCCUUUUAUACUCGUCUCUUGGGUCUUUCUGGGUUUUAACUUAAAUCUUUCCUCUUGGUGCCUUCUGGGUUCUAUCCGGAAGUCUUUCUCUCUAGGAGCUAAGAAAAGAGAUUGUUGAAGAUGGCUGCCGCCUCAUCAUCUGCUUCUUUCUUUCGGUCUAGGGAGGAAAAUCAAAACCAGAUGAUGCAACAAAAUUCAUCCACGGCUGCUCCAACCACUGCACCUCAAAAGAAAAAGAGAAAUCAACCUGGAGCACCAAGCAAGUAGCUAGCUUUUUACAUCCAAUAUGUCAUCAAUUAGCAAAAGCCACAAUUCUAUUGCUCAUUAGUGAAACCCUAUUUCUAAUUUUUCUGGGCUAAUUCAAUUUGCAUCGAUAUGGUUUUAUUAAUUUUUUAGGGAUAAAUAAUUGAAGCAUUGAAAUGAUCUAUUUUUUUUCAUUUUCUUUAUCUUCCUCAUUCAACUAUGUCUUCUUCUUCUUCUCCUUUUUUUUUCCUUUUUAAUAUUUUUGUUUUGGCAUUUCUCAUUGCAGAUCCAGAUGCAGAGGUUAUAGCACUAUCUCCCAAGACGCUAAUGGCAACAAAUAGGUUCAUAUGCGAGGUAUGCAACAAAGGGUUUCAAAGGGAGCAAAACUUGCAGCUCCACAGAAGAGGACACAACCUGCCUUGGAAGCUAAAGCAGAAGACUACAAAAGAAGUGAAGAGGAAAGUCUAUUUGUGCCCUGAGCCCACAUGCGUUCACCAUGACCCUUCUAGGGCUCUCGGUGACCUUACUGGCAUCAAAAAGCACUACUCUAGAAAACAUGGAGAGAAGAAAUGGAAGUGUGAGAAGUGCUCUAAGAGAUACGCUGUUCAAUCUGAUUGGAAAGCUCACUCAAAGACCUGUGGCACUAGAGAGUACAGAUGUGACUGUGGCACUCUCUUCUCAAGGCGUGAUAGUUUCAUCACUCAUAGGGCAUUCUGCGACGCACUUGCUCAAGAGAGUGCAAGGCAUCCUACCAGCCUGAGCACCAUAGGUACCCAUCUCUAUGGAAAUAACCACAUGUGCCUCGGCCUAUCUCAAGUGGGUUCUCAAAUUCCACCAUUGCAAGAUCAGAACCACCCAACUAGUAAAAUGUUGCGGCUGGGAAGCGCUGGAGCGGCCAAAUUCGAGCACAUAAUCCCUCCAUCCAAUUCUUCUUCCGCUUUCUUCAUGUCGGAUGCCAACCAAGUUUCAUUUCCAAAUAAAUCCUUACAUGGGCUAAUGCAACUUCCUGAUCUUCAAAGCACCACCAACAACUCGUCUUCUACCAAUCUCUUCAACCUUGGCUACUUUUCAAAUAACGCAGCUGCUCCCAACCGAAUGAGUAACAGCGAUAAUGCCAAUUCAAGCACCACAACCACCAACUUGGUGAAUUACCGCUUCUUGAAUCCAAAUCCAUUCAACAAUGGCAAUGGUGGACAAGGGAUGACAACCCUUUUCGACAAUAACAUGGGUGAUCAUGUUGGGUCAGCUGGUAUCCCCUCUCUUUAUAGUAAUUCGAUGCAACAAGAAAACAUCACCCCUCACAUGUCUGCCACAGCAUUGCUUCAAAAAGCUGCUCAAAUGGGUUCAACGACAAGCAGCAACAAUUCUAAUUUGCUUAGAGCCCUGGGUGGCUCUCCAUCAACCGGCACUAAAUCCGAUAGGCCACCUCUUGUGUCUACUAAUAACUUCGGCAGCAAUAGUUUUGGCAAUGCAACUGUUGGGGAGGGUGGGCUAGGAGCACAGAUGGAAAGUGACAACCAACUUCAAGGAUUGAUGAAUUCUCUUGCCAACGGGGGUUCUUCCUUUUUCGGUGGUGGACCCGGACAAGAUAACGGCUUCGGAGGGUUUACCAGCAGCGGAAUCUCAUUGGAACAGCCCCAUAAUAGCACGAAUUUUAGCAAUGUAGAGGAGGCAAAUUUGCAUCAAACUCUUGGCGUAGGGUCAGAUAAACUGACCUUAGAUUUUCUUGGCGUAGGGGGAAUGGUAAGAAGCAUUGGUGGAGGGCAGCAUGGCAUCAAUUUAAGCCCAGUGGACACAGAAAUAAAAUCGGCACAAGCAAUUAAUAAACCUUUUUGAAGGGCGAAAAGUCUUUGGGAAGAAAAACAAGGCAGAUCUGGGCAGUUUUAGGAAAAAAGCAGCAAGAAUUGUUCGUUAUUGUAAUUAUAGACAGAAACUCAUGCGGCAGCUUUGUCGUAAUUCUUGUCUUUUCUUUCUCUUUGUGGAAUCAUCAGUCCGUGACUGUGAAACUGUGUGAUGUCUACUUCUUACUCUCCUUUUUCUAUUUUCAAACUUCACUACAUUUUCGUUAAUGAAAAAUUAUUGUUUCAUCCCUGAACUAUAUCAUAAUUAAUAUUUACAUUCUAAAUUUUAAUUUCAUCAUAUAUAUACUUUCGUCCUUUUAUUUAUUUUUCU
rnacentral:misc_RNA from 1 species